rnacentral:rRNA from 1 species
UACGGUGGUUAUAGCGAGAGGGAAACACCCGGUUCCAUUCCGAACCCGGAAGUUAAGGCUCUUUGCGCUGAUGGUACUGCAUUGGUGACGGUGUGGGAGAGUAGGUUGCUGCCGGUU